rnacentral:ncRNA from 2 species
UUUUUUAAAAUAUUAGUGGCUCAUAUAAGUUUAAUGAUAGGGAUUAAAUGUUUCUACUUGGUAACCUUGAAUUACCAGACUAUGGGUUUUAAUAAACUUGAA